CUUUCUAUUAUUCUUUUUCUACCACCACAAGGCUUCUUCACAUAUCUAAUGGAGAUCUACACACCGAUGGUUUAAUCAAUACCAGAUCUUUAAAGAAUUGAUGGAGAUCUGCACUCUGAUGGUGGUUUUGUGGGGCAAAAAGUACUUGAAUCACUAAGAAGAAGAGCAAGGAUAAUGACUGGCGGAUUCAACUGUUGCAGGAAUGUUGUUUGUAAUUUCAAAGAAGGUGCCAUGUAUUUAUUCCCUUAAAUUUGAUUGCCACCAAAAGCUUUAGAGAUUCCUCAAUAAGGUGGAAAUGUUGCA